rnacentral:tRNA from 1 species
AGGCUUGUAGCUCAGGUGGUUAGAGCGCACCCCUGAUAAGGGUGAGGUCGGUGGUUCAAGUCCACUCAGGCCCUACCA